UAUGACUCUCGGCAAUGGAUAUCUUGGCUCUUGCAUCGAUGAAGAGCGCAGCGAAAUGCGAUACGUGGUGUGAAUUGCAGAAUCCCGUGAACCAUCAAAUCUUUGAACGCAAGUUGCGCCCGAGGCCAUUUGGCUAAGGGCACGUCCGCCUGGGCGUCAAGCAUU
rnacentral:rRNA from 1 species